UCGGUUCCGGUUCACGCCUUUAUUCGUUUGGCGACCCGGCGACU
rfam:Propionimicrobium lymphophilum ACS-093-V-SCH5 genomic scaffold aczIt-supercont-complete, whole genome shotgun sequence.